rnacentral:lncRNA from 10 species
CUGGGCAAUGGCGGGCGCCCCUCCCCCAGCCUCGCUGCCGCCUUGCAGUUUGAUCUCAGACUGCUGUGCUAGCAAUCAGCGAGACUCCGUGGGCGUAGGACCCUCCGAGCCAGGUGCGGGACAUAAUCUCGUGGUGCGCCGUUUUUUACGCCGGUCCGAAAAGCGCAAUAUUCGGGUGGGAGUGACCCGAUUUUCCAGCAACGCAUAUGGCUAAUAAAACAUAUUGAGGAUGAAUGAGAAAACAACCUGGUUCCUGGAAGGAGAGAAACAAGGUGGAGUCUUCUCACAGAAACAAGGAGAAGGUCAGAGAGACCUCCGGGAGCAUCUCAUCUUGGAGACACCACAAGCUCAAGAGGCUGCAUUAGCGUUUUUUAUUGGAGGCAUUUUCUUUUCCUCCAGAUUUUGUUUUUGACUGUUAAGGUCAUAGCUACAAACAAUUGAUCAAGCCUAAAAGGGCAUUUAUAAACCACCUGCAUCUACAUUUUUUUCUUACUGUGGAUGGAUUUAAAAAGCCGUUUCAAGAUGAAAUCUUAUGAGUCAUUAUCAUGUCUUCUGAGGGCUGAGAU